rnacentral:rRNA from 1 species
GAUGAACGCUGGCGGCGUGCCUAAUACAUGCCAGUCGAGCGAACGGACGAGAAGCUUGCUUCUCUGAUGUUAGCGGCGGACGGGUGAGUAACACGUGGAUAACCUACCUAUAAGACUGGGAUAACUUCGGGAAACCGGAGCUAAUACCGGAUAAUAUUUUGAACCGCAUGGUUCAAAAGUGAAAGACGGUCUUGCUGUCACUUAUAGAUGGAUCCGCGCUGCAUUAGCUAGUUGGUAAGGUAACGGCUUACCAAGGCAACGAUGCAUAGCCGACCUGAGAGGGUGAUCAGCCACACUGGAACUGAGACACGGUCCAGACUCCUACGGGAGGCAGCAGUAGGGAAUCUUCCGCAAUGGGCGAAAGCCUGACGGAGCGACGCCGCGUGAGUGAUGAAGGUCUUCGGAUCGUAAAACUCUGUUAUUAGGGAAGAACAUAUGUGUAAGUAACUGUGCACAUCUUGACGGUACCUAAUCAGAAAGCCACGGCUAACUACGUG